rnacentral:rRNA from 1 species
UGAGGAAUCUUGCGCAAUGGAGGAAACCCUGACGCAGCAACGCCGCGUGAGUGAGGAAGGUCUUCGGAUCGCAAAGCUCUGUCGGGUGGGAAGAAGUGUGCAUAGGUUAAUAGCUUGUGUACUUGACGGUACCGCCAAAGGAAGCACCGGCUAACUCCGUGCCAGCAGCCGCGGUAAUACGGGGGGUGCAAGCGUUGUUCGGAAUUAUUGGGCGUAAAGAGCGUGUAGGCGGCUUGGUAAGUCAGAUGUGAAAGCCCUGGGCUUAACCCAGGAAGUGCAUUUGAAACUGCCUAGCUUGAGUAAGGGAGAGGGAAGUGGAAUUCCUGGUGUAGAGGUGAAAUGCGUAGAUAUCUAGAGGAACGCCAGAAGCGAAAGCGGGGCACUGGGCCGAUUCUGACGCUGAGACGCGAAAGCGUGGGGAGCAAACA